CCCAAGCGGGUGCAAUUGUCUCACCCGGCCCCAUAAAAAUUAUCCCCUAGGUGAAAAGACCUAAAUACAAUAGUAAGACAAAAAGACCCUACAGAGCUUUAUCUAAAAAUUUAUUUCCCAAUCUAUAAAAUAGACUCAACCACUUAUAAAUCCACGAUUUGGUUGGGGCGACAAAGGACCACCCAAAACGUCCUUCCUUAUAUAGACCCCUUGUCCCCUAACGACUCAUUAGACAUCUUGUUUAAGAGGAAUCAGCUACCUUAGGGUUAACAGACUAAUAUCCCCUCGCGAGCCCAAAUUAACAGGGGAGCUUGGCACCUCGAUGUUGGCUUAGGGAACCCAAUUUGGUGCAGCAGCUAAAUUGGGUGGUUUGUUCAACCAAUAACCCCCU
rnacentral:rRNA from 1 species